AUGGAGAGAGAGAGAGACCAUGGAGAACUCCCUCGUGGGUACGGCAGCAUCAUCUCCCACUCCUCGACGGCGUCCUGUCCUGGUGACAAGGGGCGUCCAACUCUGGCCCUCCCAGCGCGGCGGCGGCGGCGGCAGGGGAGGCGAAAAUUCAGCCUGGCUAGCCACAGAUCAAUCAUGGCCUUGGCAUCCAUCAAUCGCUUCUGCUCUACUCCAGAGGACAGCGCCGAGUCUCGUCUCGUCUCAACAAGACUCCAAUUGCUGCCUUCUCCAAUGGGUCUCGUCGGCCGCCUUGCUUCCUCCAACAAGAAGACCAUCCACAUACUCCAAAACGUCAAUGGCAUCAUCAAACCAUCAAGGAUGACCCUUCUUCUCGGACCUCCAUCCUCGGGAAAGAGCACACUUAUGCGUGCCCUCACUGGCAAGCUUGACAAAAGCCUCAAGGUAUCUGGCAACAUCACUUACUGUGGUCAUACAUUUGAGGAGUUCUACCCUGAGAGGACCAGUGUGUAUGUUAGUCAGUACGAUCUCCACAAUGCAGAGAUGACCGUAAGAGAGACGCUUGAUUUCUCCAGGCGAUGCUUAGGCGUCGGUGCCAGAUAUGACAUGCUCUCUGAGCUCGCUGCCAGGGAGCGUGAAGCUGGCAUAAAGCCAGAUCCCGAGAUCGAUGCUUAUAUGAAAGCUACUGCCGUGCAAGGACAGGAGAGUAAUAUUGUUACCGAUCUUACUCUCAAGGUGACUAUCCUAUUCUGUCAAUUACAUGCAAUUCUGUAG
rnacentral:rRNA from 1 species